rnacentral:rRNA from 1 species
AUUGAACGCUGGCGGCAGGCUUAACACAUGCAAGUCGAGCGGGGGAGGUUGCUUCGGUAACUGACCUAGCGGCGGACGGGUGAGUAAUGCUUAGGAAUCUGCCAUUUAGUGGGGGACAACAUUCCGAAAGGAAUGCUAAUACCGCAUACGUCCUACGGGAGAAAGCAGGGGAUCUUCGGACCUUGCGCUAAAUGAUGAGCCUAAGUCGGAUUAGCUAGUUGGUGGGGUAAAGGCCUACCAAGGCGACGAUCUGUAGCGGGUCUGAGAGGAUGAUCCGCCACACUGGGACUGAGACACGGCCCAGACUCCUACGGGAGGCAGCAGUGGGGAAUAUUGGACAAUGGGCGGAAGCCUGAUCCAGCCAUGCCGCGUGUGUGAAGAAGGCCUUAUGGUUGUAAAGCACUUUAAGCGAGGAGGAGGCUACCUAGAUUAAUACUCUAGGAUAGUGGACGUUACUCGCAGAAUAAGCACCGGCUAACUCUGUGCCAGCCGCCGCCGUAAGAC